AAAAGCUCAAAUUUGAAAUCUAGCACCUUCGGUGUUCGAGUUGUAAUUUGAAGAUGGUAACCUUGGGUUUGGCUCUUGUCUAUGUUCCUUGGAACAGGACGUCAUAGAGGGUGAGAAUCCCGUCUGAUGAGAUGCCCAUUCCUAUGUAAGGUGCUAUCGAAGAGUCGAGUUGUUUGGGAAUGCAGCUCUUAAGUGGGUGGUAAAUUCCAUCUAAAGCUAAAUAUUGGCGAGAGACCGAUAGCGAACAAGUACAGUGAUGGAAAGAUGAAAAGAACUUUGAAAAGAGAGUGAAAAAGUACGUGAAAUUGUUGAAAGGGAAGGGCAUUAGAUCAGACUUGGUGUUUUACGAUUAUCUUCUCUUCUUGAGCUGUGCACUCGUAUUUCACUGGGCCAGCAUCGAUUCGGAUGGCAAGAUAAUGGCAGUUGAAUGUGGCUUCACUUCGGUGGAGUGUUAUAGCUUCUGCUGAUAUUGCCUGUCUGGAUCGAGGGCUGCGUCUUUUGACUAGGAUGCUGGCGUAAUGAUCUAAUGCCGCCCGUCUUUGCGCAG
rnacentral:rRNA from 1 species